GACGAACGCUGGCGGCGUGCUUAACACAUGCAAGUCGAACGGAAAGGCCCUGCUUUUGUGGGGUGCUCGAGUGGCGAACGGGUGAGUAACACGUGAGUAACCUGCCCUUGACUUUGGGAUAACUUCAGGAAACUGGGGCUAAUACCGGAUAGGAGCUCCUGCUGCAUGGUGGGGGUUGGAAAGUUUCGGCGGUUGGGGCUGGACUCGCGGCUUAUCAGCUUGUUGGUGGGGUAGUGGCUUACCAAGGCUUUGACGGGUAGCCGGCCUGAGAGGGUGACCGGCCACAUUGGGACUGAGAUACGGCCCAGACGCCUACGGGAGGCAGCAGUGGGGAAUAUUGCACAAUGGGCGGAAGCCUGAUGCAGCAACGCCGCGUUCGGAAUGACGGCCUUCGGGUUGUAAACCGCUUUCGCCUGUGACGAAGCGUGAGUGACGGUAAUGAGUAAAGAAGCACCGGCUAACUACGUG
rnacentral:rRNA from 1 species